GGUGAGUAACACGUGAGUAAUCUGCCCCUAGCUCUGGGAUAGCUCCGGGAAACCGGGAUUAAUACCAGAUACUACCACCUUAGACAUCUUUAGAGGGUGGAAAGAAUUUCGGCUAGGGAUGAGCUCGCGGCCUAUCAGCUUGUUGGUGGGGUAACGGCCUACCAAGGCGACGACGGGUAGCCGGCCUGAGAGGGCGACCGGCCACACUGGGACUGAGACACGGCCCAGACUCCUACGGGAGGCAGCAGUGGGGAAUAUUGCGCAAUGGGCGAAAGCCUGACGCAGCGACGCCGCGUGGGGGAUGAAGGCCUUCGGGUUGUAAACCCCUUUCAGCAGGGACGAAGCAAAAGUGACGGUACCUGCAGAAGAAGCGCCGGCUAACUACGUGCCAGCAGCCGCGGUAACACGUAGGGCGCAAGCGUUGUCCGGAAUUAUUGGGCGUAAAGAGCUCGUAGGCGGUCUGUUGCGUCCGCUGUGAAAACUCGGGGCUUAACCCCGAGCCUGCAGUGGAUACGGGCAGACUAGAGGUAGGUAGGGGAGAAUGGAAUUCCCGGUGUAGCGGUGAAAUGCGCAGAUAUCGGGAGGAACACCGGUGGCGAAGGCGGUUCUCUGGGCCUUACCUGACGCUGAAGAGCGAAAGCGUGGGGAGCGAACAGGAUUAGAUACCCUGGUAGUCCACGCCGUAAACGUUG
rnacentral:rRNA from 1 species